rnacentral:lncRNA from 1 species
AUGAUUAACAAGUGGGAGAAGCUGGUCUCUGUAGACGAGGGGCCAUGUGAAUUGGAUGUCUGGCCUGAUCUUCAAGGCUUAACAUGUGAUGCUAUUUCUCGAACGUCGUUUGGAAGUAAUUACGAAGAAGGAAAAAGAAUAUUUGAUCUCCUCAAGGAACUUACCAAUCUUACAGCUCAUGUUAUAAUAAAAGCUAUUGUCAUACCAGGGUACAGGUAACUCUUUAUUCUGUUUUUGCUGGACAUUACAAUUCAGUUCCUUCAAGUUAGUCCUUCUUCAAUGAGAUAUAUCUUAAAAGUAUGAAGCAGAACAAAUCCAAAUCUCUUGACAACAUGUUCAUGGAUUGCAUGUAGGUUUCUGCCGAUCCCAUCUAAUAGAAGGCUAAAAGCUAUUGACAAAGAAAUAAAAGCUUCUCUUAAUGCUCUCAUCAACAAAAGAGAGAAAGCAAUGAGUGCUGGUGAAGAAGCAAAGAAAGACUUGUUGGGUUUACUUCUGGAAUCCAAUUUUAGAGAAAUACAAGAGCAUGGAAAUACCAAGAGCGUCGGAAUGAGCAUUGAAGAUGUGAUUGAUGAAUGUAAAUUAUUCUACUUUGCUGGACAAGAAACAACCUUAGUUCUUCUUACCUGGACCAUGGUUUUAUUGGCUCAGUAUCCGAAUUGGCAAGCACGCGCAAGAGAAGAGGUUGUGCAAGUCUUUGGUAACAAAAAACCAGAUUUCGAUGGGCUAAAUCACCUUAAAGUUGUGAGUAUUUCUCUGCAUUUGCAACUGAAUUCUUCUACAUCAAUAUUGUCUUAUUAUUGUUAAGAACACAGAGCAUUCUUGCAUUUAAAAUGCAAGCUUAGGUAUCCUGUGAAGAAAAAGUAAGAUAGCAGAAAAAAAACGUUCAUGUUUUCUUUCGUUGAAUUAUUAAUCGGCCAAAAUGACGAGGAAAAGCAACCAACAGAUGAGUAGGCAAGCAAGCUAGGAGGUGACAUCUAUAUACAUUAAGAAUGAGAUUUACUAGUUCUUGGAUCAACAUAAAAAUUCUCAUUUUAGUAAGUUGAAAUGGCAUGCAAAUGAUCUCAAUAUAUGCGAUAUUUUAUUUUAUCUACGUUGAUCGCAUGUCACCUUUCUGACGGAUUCUUACCAUGUAGUAUCAUUUUCUCUUUUGAUGCAUGUUACAGGUUACCAUGAUUUUGUAUGAAGUUCUUAGGUUAUACCCGCCGGUAAUUAUGCUUAAUCGAGAUGUUCAUGAAGAAAUAAAGCUUGGAAAUUUGCUAUUACCUGCCGGAGUGCAGGUCUCGUUGCCAAUAAUCCUCCUUCACCAAGAUCAUGAACUAUGGGGUGAUGAUGCCUCUGAGUUCAAACCAGAGAGGUUUGCUGAAGGUAUUUCAAAGGCAACAAAGAGUCAGGUCUCAUUCCUUCCAUUUGGAUGGGGUCCUCGAAUAUGCGUUGGACAAAACUUUGCUUUGAUUGAAGCAAAAAUGGCUUUGGCAAUGGUUUUACAGCGCUACUCUUUUGAGCUCUCUCCGUCGUAUAUUCAUGCUCCUCGCACAGUCAUAACUCUUCAGCCACAGCACGGUGCUCCAAUGAUAUUACGUAAACUCUAAAAUGUUUAUAUGUGACGGGUAAGAGUUAUCCUCUAGUUUGUAACCCUUCAGCCACAGCACGGUUCCUUCAAGGUAUGGUUUAUGAUGCACUUUUUUUUUUUUAUUAUUAUUAUUAGAGGCCUUUGCCAAUUGAUUAAUUAACUGUGAAAGAAUAUUGAAUUAAAAAGUACAUUAUGGGCGUCUAGAUAGAUUACAUACACAAUUAACCGAGCAUAAAAAGGAGUAAAGAAAAAGGGUAGUAACUGAAUAUAUGUAUAAUUAGCUGACAUCACAGCUCAAUGGCUUGGAAGAAAUAUAGAAUGAGUCUCCAGCAGCUUCUCUUCUGCAGGGCUUGUCUGAAAUGCAGAAAACAAUCCUGGCACCCAUAGAGGCUUGUUGCAUAGUAUUUUUCGCUACAUGGUUCCGCACUCCUUGUAAAUUAUUGUUUUUUGAUCAACGAAUAACUUGUACAACAAGAUGUAUUGUACUAAUGAACCCGUUCGAGAUUGCACAGCACCAUUUCCUCGAGAGCUGGUUGAUAGGAUCCCCGAGGAAGACUUCUGAGAUUCUGAAUUGCAAGAUCAGCUCUCUCUUUUGCCAAUUCCUGUGCCCUUUCAAUGCCACCACAGUCCAUAACCAACUCAGUAGCUUCAUCAAGAGAACCACUCUCAUGGAACUCGGUCUCGAUUAUUUCUCUUAGUUUUGGUGAUUGCUCUAGAGCAAAUAUUACUGGAGCAGUCAGGUUCCCCUUUGCCAGGUCACUGCCAGCUGGCUUCCCCGGCAGCUCUGCUGACUGUGUAAAAUCUAAUAUGUCAUCCACAACUUGGAAGGAUAGACCAAGAUUCUUACCAUAUUCAUACAUUAGCAUGCAAACAUUACUGUCCACCCCACUAAAAAUAGCAGCUCCUUUGGUACUAGCAGCAAUUAAGGAGGCUGUCUUGUAGUAAGCUCAAGAUCACAGUCGAACAAGCUAGAUUCCUGCUCUAUUUCACCACUUGCAAAAUCCUUAAUAACCUGCCAUUGAGCGAGAAUAAUUGUAAAUCAACUUCAGUUACAAUUUUUUAAAAUUAGAUAAUAUAUAGCAUAGUAUAGUGCAAGAACUCCAAGGUUAUAUCCUGGACUAUAAAUACUCGGAUAUACAGAAUGGAGUUGCAGACCUACCGAACUGAUAAGCUUAAUGACUUCAAUAUUUUCAAGAUUUGCUAGGUACCAUGACGAUUAAGCAAACAUAAAGUCCCCAGCCAGUACUGCUACCCUUGUACCAUAGUGUUGAUGAACAGUUUCCUUCCCAACAAAUUAGCAGCAGUGAACUGAAAGUCAGAGAAGGCCUUGCAGUAGGCCCAAAAUUAAAUUAGAAAAAAAAAAAAAUGAAAAUGCAAAAUGCAAAAUGCAAUAAAGUGUGUAAUAGAUAUUUCAGUUUUGCUACUCUACUUGAUGUGAUAAGUAUGAGAUCCAAUGAUCGCACGGUCAGUACCAGUGAUUACUUAACAAUUAGCAUAUUUCCUUCAGUUUUUUAUCUCUGAUUAGGGAGCAAUUAUUUUAACAGUGAAAGUAGUGUAUUACAUCACUUUGGAUGUGCACAUUCAAGCUCAUCUCCAGUCAAUAGGCUCUAGCGUAGUAAUUUACAUUGAAAGAAGGCUUCAGCUAUCACUCAUCUAUGACAUACUGACUGAUAAGUAGUGAUCUAUGGCUUAAGAUCUCACUCAUCUAUGACAUACUCUCUGAUAAAGUGAUGUAUCUCUUCAGAUUCCCACAAGUUUAUAGGCUUUUAAGAAAGAAAGGAUACAUAUUUCAUUGGAUCUUCAUACAAUACAGUGCACAAGCCCAUUCAACCAAAGAUUUCUUCACAAUCCCUGCUUGGAAGAAUAAUAGAUAAAUUCAGUUGCCGUUCUAAAGGGAAAUAGGAUUCUAGGGCAAUGAACAAGUCCAAAUAAUCAAAGUUGGCUUCACAAUAAUCAUAAUUUUCAUCUCACAGCUAGGUUGACUAAUAUGCGAGCCUGUUGGACAUCCAUCUAUUAGAACCCUUCUCUUUUCAGCCUUGGACUGGUUCUGCAAAACUCUAAACAGGGCAAAUGGAAUUAAAACUUAUAAUCCUUGGAUACAUUUCUUGAAACUUUUAUAUUUAAAUCUUUGCAUAUGUCUAGAAAUACUCAUUUAGAAAUUCUCCAAAUGAAGCUAAUGUAGGGAGCAGAACCAUGAUUUAUGUUCUAUGAGGUGAUCUUCUAGUUGUAGUAAGACAUGACCUUAUCCAAUACAGAUUAUAAUGCUGAUAACCGGAUUGAGUAUUCUUUCCAUCAAGCAUGCUGUACAAGAAUAUCUGUAAGCAUAUUACAAUAACCAAAUAGAGGUUGUUGUCUGUUACCAUUCCACGGCUACAAAGACCUCAGCACUUUACAAAUACUAAGUACAGAGCAUGCAAACUGUUAUUCGGCGUUGGUGACUAACAUUAGAUCCUUGUACACUGUAAGUUUUAAAAUAACUUGGGUUUAUUCAAUAAGCAUGUGUUGGUGAAUGAUGCAGUGACAUUAAUGAGAUUUUUCAAGUUGCUUUGAUGUGAAAUUCAAAAUCCUAUCUCUUCGCAUGUCACUUUCAUCCAAUACAUCGUCAUGUAUUAAACUUGCAGUGUGGAUCAUCUCAAUAAUCUCCACUAAAUGCCGAUGUUCAGUUGUAUGUUCCCUGCAAAGCAGGAAUGCAAUAUAAGUUUUCUAUUCCAUUCAGCACCAUACGAAGCCCUUAAAAUACUGGAUAAAACUUACUUCAACCCGACUACUUCCGCCGUGGCUCAUGACAGUAGAAAGGCCAGAGGUGGUCACAUUCUCUUCCCACCAGCACUAUAUAUCUGCUCAGCUGCAGACAUCAAAACCGUAUUUUCUGCAGCAACAAUCUACCAGAGCAUCUUCAUCAGAAAUAUAAAAGCUGAAUAUAAAGAACAAGACAAACUAUUCUGAUCCAGUGCAAAAAGGUACAUGACUCAUCAAUAUAGAAGGUAACAGAUAGUAGAAAACAGACAAGUAGAACAUGGAAGCAGGUAAAAGUUCUUAUGCAGUGGCCCUCUUUUGUGAACUCAUCUUGUGCCAAAAUAACCUUGUUUACUUGUACUAUAGUACAGAUUCAGUGCUGAAUUUAAAUUUUUACGCAUUACCGCUAUGCCAACUUAUAUCAACUCAGAACAUUUGUAGUGGUCUAUCAGCUAACCACUAGUUAAUAUAUUGGUAAAAGUUCAUUCUUCAUUGAUCUACUACGACACAAGUGCCCUAAAAACUAUUUUCUAAAAUACAAAAAAUAAUCUCAUGGAACCUCAUUCUACCACAAGCAAACAUUAACUAUUCACUGAUUAAGCAUCAUCCUAAUAUUAUAUCAGAUAAAUCAUAAUGCAUCUUUCUAUGGAAUGAAGAUGAAUGAGCAUGCACUUGAGCCAGGAACCAAAUUCUUAAGCAAGAGACUGAGGAAGAAGAGCCAAUUCCCAGCAAAAUAAAUUACAUACAAGGAUAAAUACCACAGCCACAGACUAACACAACAAUUCAAGAUGGCAUUUUGAAGCAAAACCACAUUCGUAUUCCAAGAAUCAAGAAAUCAUAAAACACCAUCAACUUACAUAAAGCACGAUAUGAAAAUUCAGCAUCUGUCAUUAUUGGCGUGGAAGAACUCAAUAGCAAGCAAUAACUACAUCCUAACAUAUGUCUAACUACACAAUAUCUAACAUGCAUUAACUACUCAACAACAAAUAUCUAAAAAGGGCACUCACCGACCAGAGAUUUUGCUUAAGAGUCUGAAGAUCAGCAGCAACCACUUCAAACAAAUUUGUUAAUGAAACUGGUUCUCUUGACUCUUUCUUCAAAAUUCAGAAGUACUGUUGGACCUUCAGCAACCACUGUAUCAAGCCAAAAAUGAACAAAAAUACCAACAUUUCAAGCAUUACAACAUAUUACAUCAAUGGCAGGUGCUUUAUUGAUGGAGACCAAGCACUUAAAUGUUAUGUUAAGUAAAUGGAAUCUGUAAACACCCAAAGGAAAAUAUAUAUAUAUUUAGAGAGAGAGAGAUGAUGAUGAAUGCAGUUUUCGCUGCCGAUGCAGAAAUCGGCAGCGAUGCAGUAUUCGCUGCCGAUUCUGGACUGGGCAGCGAUGCAGUUUUCGCUGCGACGCAGUUUUCGCUACCGAUGCAGAAAUCGGCAGCGAUGCAGUUUUCGCUGCCGAUUCUGGACUCGGCAGCGACGCAGCCUUCACUACCGAUACAGAAAUCGGUAGCGACACAGUUUUCGCUGCCCAUUUCUUGAUCGGCAGCGACGCAGUUUUCGCUGCCGAUUUCUCAAUGAACAGUGACGCAGAGCUGGGAGGGAGGGGUAAAACUGAUUUUAGAUAAACCAAACAAGGAUAAGGACACACCUAAACCAACCCCCAAACAACCCAUUUCAUUGGAUGGGUAGUAUAAAUACAAAGAGGGGAGAGAGAAUGACCCAUCUUCUUCCAAAUCCAGCAGCUGCAUGCCGUUCUUCCCUUCCCCUUUCACAACAGAAACGUGAAUCAGACCAGUAGAGAUUACUUUGUGAACUUGUGAGGGAGAGAUGAGACCUUGAGAGAGGAGUGGGCAGCUGCAUAGAGGAGAGGAAAAAGAGAGCUGGAAAACGUGAGAGGAAGAAGAAGGAGGAGAACCAGCAGCUGAAUAGUGUCAAACCUUCCUCAAAUUUAGUUAAAUUCAGAAGGUAUGGGUCAUGAAACUCACUUCCUCUCCCCCGUAAGAUCAAAAACGAAAAUGAAGAAGAAAAACCCUAAGAAAAGAAUUGAUCUAAGACCUAAGCCAGCUGUGAAGGAAGCUGAAAUUAACCAAGAGAACAAGCAAACAAAAGUGAAAUAAAGUCAAUUUCAGAACAUCUAACAAAUCAUGGUAGAGGGCUGGCUUUAACUAGGGGGUAAUUAAUGUGUUCUGCUGUGAUGUUGUUGCUGGACUUAAUGUGUUCUGCUGUGAUGAUUGUUGCUGGAAUUAAUGUGUUCUGCUGUGAUGUUUGUUGCUGGAAUUAAUGUGUUCUCCUGUGAUGAUUGUGCUGAAAUUGAUGCUGCCGAUUUGUGUGUUGCGCAGCGAAAUUCUGUUUCGCUGCCGCAACUGAACCUGCUGCUGGAAUUAAUGUGUUCUGCUGUGAUGUUUGCUGCUGGAAUUAAUGUGUUCUGCCUGAACCUGCUGCAGCGAAUUAAUAUUCGCUGCCGAUUUGUGUGUUGCGCAGCGAAAUUCUGUUUCGCUGACGCAACUGAACCUCUUGCAGCGAAUUAAUAUUCGCUGCCGAUUUGUGUGUUGCGCAGCGAAAUUCUGUUUCGCUGCCGCAACUGAACCUGCUGCAGCGAAUUAAUAUUCGCUGCCGAUUUGUGUGUUGCGCAGCGAAAUUCUGUUUCGCUGACGCAACUGAACCUGCUGCAGCGAUUUGAUAUUCGCUGCCGAUUUGUGUGUUGCGCAGCGAAAUUCUGUUUCGCUGACGCAACUGAACCUCCUGCAGCGAUUUGAUAUUCGCUGCCGAUUUGUGUGUUGCGCAGCGAAAUUCUGUUUCGCUGCCGCAACUGAACCUGCUGCAGCGAAUUAAUAUUCGCUGCCGAUUUGUGUGUUGCGCAGCGAAAUUCUGUUUCGCUGCCGCAGCUGAACCUCCUGCAGCGAAGUGAUAUUCGCUGCCGAGUUGUGCGUUGUGCAGCGAAACUGUGGCGCCAACAGCGGUGCAGUUCUCGCUGCCGAACUGGCAGCCUGCGGCGAACCAGUUCUCGCUGCCGAAUUGGGCAGCUCGCAGCGAACCAGUUCUCGCUGUCGAUUCCUACAAUAAGCCUCCUAGGCAGGAAUGACUUAAAUGCUAAUAACAAUUUCAUGAUAUGAUGGUGUAAAAUAGGGAACACUUGAAUGUGAACAUAUGAACUAUUGAAAUAAGUGUGAUGAUGAAUGUGAUUCAAAAAUAAAAUAAAUACAACUGUGCUGAUUUGUGACCAUUGAUGUCUUAGGUGGUGCGGUCGGGAUUGGACCAUCAUCAAGACAGGAACGACCCACAGGUGGAGCAGGUAGGUGACUUGCACCUUUCUUUUUCAUACGUUGAAUCUUGGAAUAUUUUAACUUGAGUACUACCAUAUUGUUAGAACUGAUAUUAAAUUGUCGAACGCUUAAUUGUUGAUAAAAGAGUGAUUAGCUUCGGCUAAUGGCAUCCGAAUGGAUGGCCGGGACAAAAGACUGAUUAGCUUCGGCUAAUGGCAUCCAAACGGAUGGCCGGGACAAAGAAUGAUUAGCUUUGGCUAAUGGCGUCCGAAUGGAUGGCCAGGAUGAAGGACUGAUUAGCUUCGGCUAAUGGCAUCCAAACGGAUGGCCGGGACAAAGAGUGAUUAGCUUCGGCUAAUGGCAUCCGAAUGGAUGGCCGGGACAAAGAAUGAUUAGCUUUGGCUAAUGGCGUCCGAAUGGAUGGCCGGGUUAAAAAGGGAUGAUUUCGCUGCCGAUUGUGGAUCGGCAGCGACGCAGUUCCGCUGCCGAUUCUGGAUCGGCAGCGAUGCAGUCUUCGCUGCCGAUACAGACAUCGGCAGCGACCCAGUUUCGCUGCCGAUUCCUUGAUCGGCAGCGAUGUAGUUUCGGCUGCCGAUUUUAGGAUGGGCAGCGACGCAGCUAUCGCUAUGGAAUCCGGAUGGAUAGCCGGGACAAAUAAACGACUAGUUUCGGCGAAUGGCAUUUGAAAACUUGUGUAUCUAUAUGUACUACUAAUUGUUACAUCAAAUACAUGAAGAAAUUAUAAAUGUUAAUGCUUAUUUAAUUGCUAGGCCGUUAGUUACCAUUAUUAUUAUUAAGUAUUUGUUUUCUCUUAAAUGUUUUGUACUGCUGCAGGGACGUCACACCAACGAGAUGUCUAGGAUACCCGAUACACGGGAACCUACUUUUGCAAGGAAUUAAGUAGAUGCAUUCUAAAUCACAAUGUAUUUUGUAGGGAUCAAUGUACUGAAUGUAUAACUUUUAUUAGAUCCUUUUUGUUUAAAAUUUGUGAUGGCUAUUAGAAGUAUAAGAGUGCAAACUCAUGUCCAUGUAUAUAUAUUUUUAAUAUGAACUUCAAAUCAUGCAACCUUAAUAUUAUGUGUUUGUGUAAGAUUCGCUUUUGAAUGAACUGUUGAUUGUAUGGAUUGUAUUUUGAUGAUGUGAGGAUUCAAGUUCUUUGAUUAUCGGCACCAUGAGGGGGAUAAUAUAUAUAUAAAAAAAAAUUACUAUUGUUUUGGGCUUAGAAAGCCGGGUUGUUACAGAAUCACCAGAAUCAUAAUGAAUUAGGAAAGCACUAAACUGUGGUCAAGAAAGAAAUGGUUAAUGAAUGGCAACGGCCUGUGCUACUCUAAAGCAGAUUCGAUCAGAAUUAGUAAGACAAGUCACUGAUUGUUAUUCAUGUUGGAUACAGACACUAAACUGUAAUCCAACUGAUACAAGCGUUAUUUCAAGGGAACCUACUGGAAUAGAAUCCAGUCAAUUGGUGAGUCUGUUACGUAAGAGGAUGAGGGGGAUAAUAGUGAGAAUAAUAUGGGCAAUGGCAAUGGUCAUUCAUCAUGCAUUCAUUAUGUUUUUCAAUGUCUUUCUCUGUUACAGUUGUGCCAUAUAUAUACACAGCAUUCUUUCUAGAUUACUGACUAUAACUAAUUCCUUUUAUUCUGGCCUGAGAGCACACACAAGUCGUGUGCUUGAAUUCAGUUAAUUGGAACGGUGUCAAUUAAUGAAACGGAGCGUUUAACAAUGACUGUAACGACUUUAACGACUUUUUAACAAUUUAAAUCUACCCGCCUUCCCUUGGCUUAAGUUGUGCAUGUAACAGGUAUUCCCUCUUCGAAAACGACCUUGUCCUCAAGGGAGAACUCUGGGAAACGAUAUUUAAUGUCAUCAGCAAACUCCCAUGUGGCGUCAGACGGGGUGAGACCCUUCCAGUGGAGCAGAAUUUGUGUGGUGGCCUGGUUACCUCUCUUCACCAUUCUGCGGUCCAGAAUUGCCUGUGGAAUGAUCAUGGGAACUGAAGGAGUAAUAGGCAAAGUUGACUGCACGAUCUUAUUCCCUAUGUGUUUCUUCAACUGUGACACAUGAAAAAUUGGGUGGAUGGAAGCAGUAGGUGGUAACAACAACUUGUAGGCCACAGAACCAAUCUUCUUUAAAAUCGAAAAAGGGUCAUAGAAUUUUGCAGCUAAUUUCUGAGAACUUCUGCGUGCCAUGGAUUUCUGACGAUAGGGCUGUAGUUUGAGGUAGACUAAGUCCCCUGGGUUAAACUGUCUGUCGCUGCGUUUGCGGUUGGCAAUUUGCAUCAUUCGAUGCUGAGCCUUGAGUAAGUUGUCUCUGAUUUGGCCAAGCAUUUCUUCCCUCUGUGUGAGUAAUUGAUCAACAGCCUCCACUGUGGAAUCUUUAGGAAAACAGGGAAUGUGCAGAGGAGGAGGAAACCCGUAUAAUAUCUCGUAGGGAGUAGACUUAGUAGCUGUGUGGUAAUUGGUGUUGUACCACCAUUCAGCAAGAGGCACCCACUUAGACCAUUGAUGAGGACUGUCACCAGACAUGCAGCGUAAGUAAUACUCUAAGCACCUGUUCACCACUUCUGUUUGGCCAUUAGAUUGUGGGUGGUAAGCUGUAGAAUGAUGUAGGUUUACUCCCUGAUGUUGGAAUAAUUGCUGCCAGAAAUGACUUAAGAAAACUGGAUCUCUGUCAUUGACAAUGGUAGCUGGGAGGCCAUGCAGCUUAUAGACGUUGUCCAUGAAAACUCUGGCCACCGAAGAGGCUGAAUAUGGAUGAAUAAGGGCCAUAAAAUGUGCAUAUUUGCUGAAUCUGUCCACAACCACCAGAAUGACUUCCUUACCUUCUGAUUUAGGUAGGCCCUCAAUGAAAUCCAUGCUGAUAUCAGUAAAUGGAGCAAGAGGAACAGGUUGAGGUUGCAGUAGCCCUGGGGUUAGCACAUUCUCGUGUUUGUUUUGUUGACAGAUACUACAUUCCCUCACAAAUUGCCUAAUAUGUUUCUGCUGCUUCUUCCAGUAGAACAGACUGCCUACCUUUUGAGCUGUAACCACCACGCCUGAGUGACCCCCUGCAGCUGUGUCAUGGUAUAGGGCUAUCAGCUUGUUAUGUAGUGCAGGAUUGUGGCCUACCACAAUUUUACCCUUUCGGUUCAAAUGGUUGUUGACCCAUGUAUAGUGAGGAUGGGAACGAGGGUCAUGCAACAAAUCACAUAUAAUGUGCCUAAGACUAUCAUCAGAUGCCCAAGUCAUUCUGAUUUCGUCCAUGAGAGGAGUGGAAAUGGAAGUCAUGAUCAUAGUGCUUAAUUGUCCACUAGGAAUCCUUGAUAAAGCGUCUGCGGCCACAUUAUCUUUUCCUUUGCGAUACUCAAUCUCAUAAUCAAAACCCAGUAAUUUAGUAAGCUAGAGGUGUUGAGAAGGAUAUGUUACCUUUUGAUCCAGCAAAUGCUUAAGGCUAAUGUGAUCAGUCCUUAUGCGAAAAUGUCUCCCCCAAAGGUAAUGUUUCCACUUAGCCACUGCCUGUAGAAUUGCAAACAUCUCCCUCUCAUAAGCAGAAAAAGCUUGUUGCCUAUGACCAAGAGCUUUGCUGAGGAAAGUUAUAGGAUGUCCUUCCUGCAUUAGCACAGCCCCCACACCUGUGCCUGAAGCGUCAGUUUCAAUGACAAACAACUUGGUCAUGUCAGGUAAGGCCAAUACCGGAGGAUUUGUCAUGGCUUGUUUUAAUUUGUCGAAAGCAACCGUAGCCUCUUCAUUCCACUUGUAAAAAUCCUUCUUGAGGAGCCGAGUUAAAGGUUUACAGAUGGCCCCAUAACCUUUGACAAACCUUAUAUAAUAACCUGUGAGUCCUAGAAAACCUCUCAGUUGUUUGAUGUUUCUAGGAAAUGGCUAAUUGACAAUAGCUUGGAUCUUGAGUGGAUCGGUGGCCACCCCAGACUUGGUGAUCACGUGGCCCAGAUACUCCACUUGAGAGCUGCCCAAAACACACUUACUUCUCUUAGCAAGGAGACUCCGACUUCUGAGUAUCUCAAAUACGAUCUGCAGCUGUUCCACAUGCUUUUCCAAAGUAGGGCUGUACACCAAGAUGUCGUCAAAGAAGACUAGAAUAAAUUUUCGUAAAUGUCUUCUGAAGAUGUCGUUCAUCAAGCUCUGAAAGGUGGCUGGUGCAUUGGUUAAGCCGAAUUGCAUGAUCAAAAACUCAUAAUGGCCAUUAUGGGUUCUGAAAGCUGUCUUGCGUAUGUCGCCAGCAAGCAUCCUUAUUUGGUGAUAACCAGCCCGUAGAUCAACCUUAAAGAAUACAGUAGCCCUGCCCAGUUCUUCCAACAGUUCUUCGACAAUCGGAAUAGGGAACUUGUCUUUGAUUGUCAUUUUAUUAAGAGCCCUGUAAUCCACACACAACCGCCAAGUAUCAUCUUUCUUCUUUACCAAAACUACUGGUGAAGCAAAAGGGCUGGUGUUGUGUUGUAUAAUGCCAGAAUCCAGCAUUUCUGUUACUAUUUUCUCCACUAUAUCCUUUUGUAAGCCAGUGUGACGAUAAGGCCGGAGGUUGAUUGGUUGUGAUCCUUCCUUGAGAGGAAUAGCAUGGUCAUGUGCUCUAAGAGGAGGAAGUCCUGUUGGCUUCUUAAAAAUGUCCUGGUAAGAAUGUAACAAUUCAUCUAUAGUUGCAUUAUUUCCAAGACUGGGUUGCAGGGUCGUUGUCAUUGAGCUGAUGAAAUGGUCACUGUCUUCUAUGACUCUGAGGCUGCAGAGAUUAACCUCCACGAGCUUAUUUGGAUUGUUAAUCAAGCUAUUGAAUUGUUCAAAACCAAUCGUCUGGAGCUUAACUGGAGUGUCUCCUUGCAGCAAUAUGUCUUGCCCUUGCCAUAUAAAAGACAUCCAUAAAUCAUUGUAAUUGGAUAGAAUGUUACCCAAUGUAGCCAACCAUUGUACUCCCAGCACCAUAUCACAAUUGUUGAGCUCCACCACAAACACAUCUGUAAAGAACUUGACUCCUUGCAUUUUCCAAAGAAAAUUCUUGCACACAUGAGUACAAGUCAUCUGACCACCAAUGGCUGCUUCCACUGCUAAGGGCCGAAUUGGAGUGAGAGUGCAGCUCAGUUUCUUUGCCACCUGAGUGUUGAUAAAAUUGUGUGUGCUUCCUGAGUCGAUCAUGAUAAAGAGUGGAGACUUUUCAACCUUACUAGUCACUCUUAGAGUCUGAAAACCUGAAGUACCCUCUAAGGCAUUGAUGGAUAUUUGGGGUGUGAAGUUGUCAGGGUCCAUCUCACUGCCUUGCUGGACCUCUUCUUCUGCAACAUCCUCGUCGUCCAAAAUACAUAAGGAGUACACCCUUUUAUUUCUGCAUCGAUGGUCGGGUAUGAAUUUCUCAUCACACCAGAAACACAAUCCCUUCGCUCUCUUUUCAUCCAGCUCCUUAUUUCUAAGGGUCUUUGUAGGUCUGUCAGGUGUGCUUGAAGACUUCUAAUGGUAGGGAAUCGAUUUUGCAGUGUGGUUGUUGUGGUAUAGAGUUGUUUUAAUGUUGUUUGGGGCAAUAAAAGGCUUCGGUGGGUUGAUACCAGUAGUUUGGUAGGUGUUCUUUGAGUAAGAAGGAUGGGGUUACCUAUGACUGAUUGUGUUUUCUUGUAGCCUAGCUAGGUUGUAAGCUUGGUAUAAGGUUUUGGGUUCAAACAUUUUAACCAUGUUCUUAAUCUCAACCUCUAACCCUCCAAGGAAAAAGACCAGAGCCUGUCUCUCUGUCAUCUUUGCCCUAUUCCAUAAAAUAUCAAAUUCUUGUAUAUAAGUUUCUAAAUCAGCCUUUUGCUUGAGAUCUUUUAGUUCCUCUAGAGGGUCUUUUUGGCCGCCAAAACGACAACACAAUGCUUCAAUAUAUUCACUCCAUUGGACAUCAGGACGAUGCCUAACAAAAUUCUGAUGCCAAUACAAGGCUCUGUCAUCCAUGUAAUAGGAAGCUUGUUUGAGUUUUUCAGAAUCAUUCAUUUCUGUGAUUUCAAAGUACUGGUUACACCUGAAUAACCAUUGAUAGACAUUGUCUCCAUUGAAACUAGGAAAAUCACGUCUAGGCCUGUGUACCUGUCAGGAAUGUUGAUCUGCUUCUCUGGUCCAGUUGUUCCUGGUGGCUCCAUUGGAGCAACCUGGCUGCUCAUGGUUAGCAAUUGGUUCACCUCUUCCCAAGCUCAGCUUUUGCAGAAAAGAGCUUUGCUGGAAUGUUAAGCCGCUGAUCAAGUCUUUGAUCUCCCCAAACUUAACCUCAUGGCUCUCCAUUUUCUGGCCAUACACUUCCAAUAACUUGGUUACUUGCUCAUAUUUGGCUGCAUGCUCCUUGUUGGCAGACUGAAGUGACUCCUCCAAGCGCCUGAGAUCCUGUGUUCUGGUGUCUAGAGGCAUGGCUGGUGUCCAAGGUUCGCAAGCUCUGAUACCAGUUGAUACAAGCGUUAUUUCAAGGGAACCUACUGGAAUAGAAUCCAGUCUAUUGGUGAGUCUGUUACGUAAGAGGAUGAGGGGGAUAACAGUGAGAAUAAUGUGGGCAAUGGCAAUGGUCAUUCAUCAUGCAUUCAUUAUGUUUUUCAAUGCAUUUCUCUAUUACAGCUGUGCCAUAUAUAUACACAGCAUUCUUUCUAGAUUAUUGACUAUAACUAAUUCCUUUUAUUCUGGCCUGAGAGCACACACAAGUCGUGUGCUUGAAUUCAGUUAAUUGGAACAGUGCCAAUUAAUGAAACGGAGCGUUUAACAAUGACUGUAACGACUUUAACGACUUUUUAACAAUUUAAAUCUACCCGCCUUCCCUUGGCUUAAGUUGUGCAUGUAACACCAACAAAUUCAGAUUGUUCUGUCGAAUAUAAAUACAUUCAGUAUCAAUAAGACACGAAACUAAUACUCUAAGAUUUCCUAAAAAGCAAUUUUAAACAUAAAUACAAAAGGCAAAUACAACUACUAUCAAUACAAGGAAAAACCAUGAAUAUCAAAAACAGGUAGCAAAACAUAAAACCCAAAUUAAAAAAAAAGGUGCAAAAAAAAAUGUACCUGCAAGUAAAGUCUCAGGGGUCUUUGUUGAAGAAACUCGACACCUAGCAAUAUCUUGCCGGCAACAAACCAUUCUCCUGGAACCAUAAUCCCUGUUACAACUCUUAGAAACUGACUUUGCAUAAUUCCUCACCGAAUACCUAUCUAUUGAAUCACUGAGGAGCAGCCACAAGCCACCAAAUGAAGUUUAGCCCUUCCAAAAUCAAGAUUACGGCAAGUCAUUUACAUCAUUCUCAAUAGCAACACCCCAAGAAAGCAAAAAAGAAACAAUCUUUUGCUAUCCACUUAAAAUACCCAGAUAGAAAAUAUUGCUCAAUUUGCCAUAUAACUAACAGCCUUGAGAAACAAAUAGAGUAUUCGGCAGGUUGAAAGUGUUUUUUUUUUUUAAAAAAAUUGAUUUAAAUUAAUUUUUUGUUUUAAUGUUUUUAAAUUAGUUUGAUGUUUUAUAUGAAUUUUAAAAAAUAAAAAAAUAUAUUAUUUUAAUAUAUUUUUAAAUAAAAAUAAUUUGAAAAACAAAAUAAUUGGAGUGUUAAAAAUUUAGAGUAGAGAUUAUUUUUUAAAAUAUUUUUUAUUUAAAAAUACAUUAAAAUAUAUUAAAAAAAUCCUUCAAAAUAACUCAUGAAAACCAAAACUAUCAUUUUGAUUACUAAACAACCGUUAAGUUUCUUUAUCUUUCUUUAUUUUUGUUAUGAUUUUUUUUAUUCUUUAAAUUUAAAAAUUAAAAUAUAAAUAAAAUAAAGUUUUAGAUAAAAGUUAAAAAUAUUAAAACUGAACGGUUGUGGGUUGGGCCGAAACCAAGGGAGGUUUGCUGAAGGUGUUUCAGAGGCAACAAAGAGUCAAGUCUCAUUCCUUCCAUUUGGAUGGGGUCCUCGAAUAUGCGUUGGACAGAACUUUGCUUUGAUUGAAGCAAAAAUGGCUUUGGCAAUGGUUUUACAGCGCUACUCUUUUGAGCUCUCUCCGUCGUAUAUUCAUGCUCCUCGCACAGUCAUAACUCUUCAGCCACAGCACGGUGCUCCAAUGAUAUUACGUAAACUCUAAAAUGUUCAUAUGUGACGGGUAAGAGUUAUCCCAGGGUAUAAAGGAGGUUGGAUCUCCCAAUAAACCAAACCAAAAACAAAGCCUGUAGUAUAUAAUAUUAUGUUCAAAUGCUAUCAUGUCCAAUGACAUAUUUUUCGUAUUAAUCACAACAUUAUAGUACCGUGGGUUGUUUUACUGUAAUCAUAGUAGAUUACUAUAAUAAAAUUACAUAUUUGCUUUUGAGUGGAAAAAAAAAAAGUCCUGAGAUGGGGUGUUUUGAUCUUUUCUAUUAGCCCAUUCAUCAUUAAAAAAAUAAUUAGGAUGUAGAAUUUAUUUUUUUUGCAUGAUAAAAAGAUUUUCUUACUUUUGAAGUCAACAAAACUUAAAGUGAUUGACAAAAAAAAUUUAAUUUUUAUAAAAAAGUUUCUUUAUCCUGGGAGAUUAAAAAAUUGUUGGGCUAUUGGACAAUAGGUUUUUUUUUUUCAUUAUUCAUAUGUAGUAAAAGUAUAUUUUUGACCCUAGAUAAGACAAAAAAUCAAGUUUGUAUUUAGGGGUAUUUGUAUACUUUCGCACGUGCUUUUAGGUAAUUACCAAGAUCAUAAGAGUUUUUUAGUAUUUUUAAGUUGAGUUUUUAAUUUUUUUAAUCAGAAAAGUUGUUGGUGUGUGGUAAGCACGCCAACAAGUAGAUGACGUCUGCGUCGUUCUAAUGUGAUCUAGUUGCCUCAUUUAAAACUUGAUCUGACUUCAAAAGUAACUUUAAGUUGUCAUCGUUUUAACCUUUGCGCAAUCCAAUCAGGUAUAAAUGAGAAACAAUGGAUUGUCAUAUGAGAAAAUCGUUUUUUUUUUUAAGAUUUAUGGGGCGAAACGAAAAGAUAACACCAUAUUGAAUUAACCUCGAUCAAUCUAGGUAACACCUACAACAUGCGUUGACAGGGUCAUGACAUGACCACAACAAACUAAUAUAGUUUGGUUAUUUGUGUCUUUAAUUUCCCUUCCUUUAUUUUCUUGCAGGUUGGGCCUUUAUUGGGCUCUGAUGUGAUAAAAUUUGGAACCAAUUGAAGAGUUAUAAAAGACUUAAAAAUCAAAUCAAAAAUAUUUAAGAAGUUAUAAAAGAAUCAAGGAUCAAAUUAAAAAAAAAAUAAGAGACCGAAUAAAAAUAAAAGAAGAUGUGUGCAACGCACAUGUCAAUAUGGAAAGAAGUUUGUCAUGUUUAGACUAUAUGUGUAACUUUCUUUAAGCUAUGAUGAUGGAUGUCCUUGGUCGGAAUUGCCUCGGUAGCAUCUCUCUUCCAUGGCAUCGACGGCGUAGUCAUGAUGUGGUGCUGAUAAUCUCUUUUUCUUUUUGUGUUUCUUUUCCCAUGUUUCUUCUUUUCUCAACCCCUUAAUUCUUGGGCAUGGCCUGGAAGAGAGAGAAAAAAAAAACCACAAUUUUAAUUUACAAUAACUUAUUUAACUUCUUAGAACAAAGCAUAAUCAUGCUUUCAAUGUCAAACCAUGUGAUCAUCAGGGAAAAAAUGAAAAUACCAUCUAACUUAUAAAUGGCCGCUCUUCAUGCUGAGAUUCUAAUUACUAUUCAUUUAUUUAUUUAUUUAUUUUAUCUACUCCAACCAACAAUUUGUUUAUUCUCAUGAAUUAAUUAAUUUAAUGACUACAACCGUAAAGAAUCCAAACAAAAGGAAUAUUAGUUCCAAACACUAGCAAACAAGAUAUGGAGAUGGCCAUUCACAAUUGACAUUUCUGCCACACAAACAGUAAAACAAUAUCAUUGAAACUUGAAACUUGCUCGGAAAGAAAUGUUUGAAGGCAAUAAUAUUUAAUUGGUCUCUCUGCGCACAUCACCUGCCCAAAGUCUUCGCCUUAUCUCUCGCUCUCUCAUCCAUUUCUGGAUUUAUUUCUUCGUGUAAAAAUGACAGUAACAGUCUCUUCAAUUCUAGUCUCCAUUGUUUAUGUUGCAGUGCUAAGAUGGGCAUGGAGAGUUUUGAACUGGGUUUGGUUUCGGCCGAAGAAGGUCGAGAGGUGCUUGAGACAACAAGGUUUUGCAGGCAAGCCUUACAGGCUUUUGUUCGGAGACUGGAAAGAAAGUUCAGAUAUGUUGAAAGAAGCAAGGACCAAACCCAUUGGUUUAUCAGACGCUCUUCUACCUCGUGUCAUGCCCUUCCUCCAUCAACUGGUCAAGGAUUAUGGUAUUCAACACGCAACCCUUUAUUAUCUCUCUCGUAGAAAAGAUGCUUUUUCUUGCUAGUUAAAUAUUUCUCCUUCUAUAAGGCGGCAAUGAUUGAGAAAUUAAAACCAGUUGAUCAUGAUGAAUUUUAUUUAUGUCGAACAACUUUUGUUCACCGUUUCUCAGUAAAACUCUGUCAUCAUCGGUUUAUUUUAAUUGAUAAAAUAUUAUUUCUUACGAAUACAAAAACAAAUUAAUUUUCCAUUGGUAUCAUUGGGAAUCAGAAUGCCCAAUGUGCUGACCCAAUGUUUCAGCCCAUUUUCUUAAUUAUAGUUUUAGAGAGUUAUAAUAUUUUUAAAAUAGACCAAGUGGGUGUUAAUUUUCAAUAUUCAUGGUAUGCGUAUUUGAUCUCUUGGUAGUGUUGGUUUCCUGCUGGACAGAACAGUACUAGUUACUAAUAGUUGAAAACAUUGGUUUCAAAAGUAGUUGAGCCAGAGUUUUUUAAACGAGGAUGUAAAUUAUUAAUAAAUACUAUAUUAUAUAGAUAUAAAUUAUUAAUAAAUAUUAUAUUAUAUAGAUAUGUAUUAAAAAUUAAUUCAAAACAUAUAUAAUAAUUUAUAUCAAGUAAAAUUAAUUUAAAAAUACUUUCUUCAAGUUUUUAUAUUUUAAAGUCGCUUCAUAAUAACUUCAUUAUCAAUCUUAUCGAAAAUAUCUUUCUCAACGUAUACAAUCAAACUGUCAUUCAUCCACUUAUCUCCCGUCCUAUUCCGCAAUCGAAAGUUACAUAAUAAUUCUAAAUUUUCCAUAAAAAAUUCAUAGCAAAAUACACAUCAACUUAUCAAAAUCAAAAUCCAUUUCAAUUCAAAUCAAUUAAGUAUGUUGAUUAAAUUAUUUCUAAACAUUUAAUUGAGGAACAAUGUCUAGUGUCUGUGUAAGAGGAAUAAUGCUUAAAAAAUAUGUUUUCUACUUGAUAUUUUACUUAUAACCAAAUCAUGUGAAAAUAUUAAAUUUCAAUAAACUACUCUACCAACACAAAAGAUGCCAAGAAUAGUUGUUUUGCAUGAAUAUUAAUUUAUUCUUUUAUAAUAAGAAAAAAAUAUUUAAUUGAUUAAAUUAGCAGAUUCAAAUAUUUAUUUUGAACAUAUUCAUAUCAAAACCUUUAAAUUAUCAUAAAUUCUAAUAUUUUUAAUAACUAAUUAUAAAAGAAUAAAAUUAAAAUUAAAUAAUAAAAUAAAUAAAAAGAUGAAGGAAAUUUACCUAAACUAUAAAGUAAAAAGCAAAAAAAAUUAAUUAUUUAACUAUACUUGAAGAUAAAUUUAUAUAUUGGAGAGAACUAAAGAACGAGCUGGACAUGUAUACGGGAGAGAGGCAGGGAAAGUAAAAGAGAAAUUUGCAUAGUUAGAAUAAAAUAAAAUAAAAAGGAAAUGAGCUAAUAACAACUUUCUAAUAUCAAUCAUUUACUAAAUUAUUAUAUUAAUAUUUUAAUAUAAAAAAUAUUAAAAAAAAUUAAGGGGGCAAUUGUCCAUUUUUGCACCUAUGUGGCUCCGCCAAUGGUUUCCAAGUCAGUAUUGAACUUGUUAUUAGUUGGCUAGAGGUUGUAUAAAUAUAAAUAAAAGAACUUGAAUCUUAAAUAAGAGCAUGUUUAUUUUUGCGUUUUAAAAAUGUUUUUUUUUAAAUAAAUAUUUUUAUUUUUCUACUUUAACUUAAUGUUUUGGUGUUUUUAGAUCAUUUUGAUGUCAAAAUAAAUUUUAGAAAAUGAAGAAAACAUUAUUUCUAUGUAUUUUUAAACGAAAAAAUAUUUUAAAAAACAAUCGUUAUUACAAUACUAAAUGAGCUCCGAGGAUAUAUAGUGUGAUCGAAAACCAAUAGUAUUGUGUGCGUGGAGAAACAAGAAAAAAAUAAAGAAGAGUAAAUUGUGACUGUGUUUAUUGAAUGGAUACAUGUGAUAAUCUAGAUGGUGUAUAAUGGGUGCAUAGUGAUUAGUUUAGGUUGUGUAUAAUAUAACCUAUUCGUGUUGUGAGGGUACAAUUGUGUAGUUGUGUGGGGUAACUUGAUUAUUUUAUGAUUCAAAAAUCAGAUUCUAAAUGUUGAUUUAUAUUUAACAAAAUUAAUACUUUUGUAUUUAUCUAGGUAUAUUAAAAGAAUCAUAACUUUACGUUUUCUUGCAUGUUAAAGUAAAGUUGCAUCUAGAGAAGAUUAUACUUUGUCAACUCUAUUGAGGUGUUCAUAAAAAUAUAAAAAUCUAUUAGAAAAAGAAAUAAAAAUUCUCUUACAAGAAUUUUACCUUAUAGUGUGAAGUGCAAUUUUUUCUGGGUUUGGAUUUCUUUUGUUCAUAUCUCAAUUUGAGCCUCGUGUAUUUCCCUCAACAGAAGAAUAUAUAUAUAUAUAUAUUUUGAUUAAUAAGUAUGCUUCCUCUGACGAUGCAGGUAAGAAUUCAUUUAUGUGGGUUGGGCCGAAACCAAGAGUGAACAUCAUGAACCCUGAUCAGAUAAAGGACGUAUUCAUGAAGAUAAAUGAAUAUCAGAAGCCCUCGCACCCGCUGUUGAAAGCUAUAGCAUGUGGACUUCCAAGUCACGAGGGUGAAAAAUGGUCUAACCAUAGAAAGAUAAUCAACCCAGCAUUCCAUCAAGAGAAGAUAAAGGUGAUCAUGAUAGUCUCAACUUAUUUGCCUAUAAGCAUCCAUGCUAUUCGAUUGCCUUGAAUGAGUAGCAUGCAUGUUGUGCUCUCAUAUAGCUGUAAUAUAAAACUUUCGAUGAUGAUAUGUUCCGUUUGCUUGUUACAGCUUAUGAUACCUGCAUUUUACGAAAGUUGUAGUGGGAUGAUUAACAAGUGGGAGAAGCUGGUCUCUAUAGACGAGGGGUCAUGUGAAUUGGAUGUCUGGCCUGAUCUUCAAGGCUUAACAUGUGAUGCUAUUUCUCGAACGUCGUUUGGAAGUAAUUACGAAGAAGGAAAAAGAAUAUUUGACCUCCUCAAGGAACUUACCGAUCUUACAGUUCAUGUUAUAAUAAAAGCAAUUGUCAUACCAGGGUACAGGUAACUCAUUAUUCUGUUUUUGCUGGACAUUACAAUUCAGUUCCUUCAAGUUAGUCCUUGUUCAAUGAGAUAUAUCUUAAAAGUAAGAAGAAGAACAAAUCCAAAUCUCUUGACAACAUGUUCAUGGAUUGCAUGUAGGUUUCUGCCGAUCCCAUCUAAUAGAAGGCUAAAAGCUAUUGACAAAGAAAUAAAAGCUUCUCUUAAUGCUCUCAUCAACAAAAGAGAGCAAGCAAUGAGUGCUGGUGAAGAUGCAAAGAAUGACUUGUUGGGUUUACUUCUGGAAUCCAAUUUUAGAGAAAUACAAGAGCAUGGAAAUACGAAGAGCGUCGGAAUGAGCAUUGAAGAUGUGAUUGACGAAUGUAGAAUAUUCUACUUUGCUGGACAAGAAACAAC